rnacentral:tRNA from 1 species
AGUGUUGUGCCUGAAGCUUAAGGGUUAUUUUGAUGGGAUGAUUAUACCGCAACUUGCGGUCAAUACUA